rnacentral:piRNA from 1 species
UGGGUUGGUGCACAGAUUCAAUAAGCUCUGUA